AUGUGGUCUCACGUGGCCCCGAGCUUCCUGUUUGUAGGACCUAAGAAGAGGACACUGCUGGGUCUUCUCCUGUGCCUGGUGACAGCCCCCCAAGGUGUCCUGUCCCAGGUGCAGCUGCAGGAGUCAGGCCCAGGACUGGUGCAGCCCUCGCAGACCCUGUCCCUCACCUGCACCGUUUCGGGAGGCUCUGUCACAAGCAGUUACUACUGGCAUUGGAUCCGCCAGAGCCCUGGUAAAGGGUUGGAGUGGAUGGGGUACUGGACAGGGAGCACAAGGUACAACCCAGCGUUCCAGGGCCAAAUCUCCAUCACGGCUGACACAUCAAGGAACCAGUUCUCCCUGCAGCUGAGCUCUGUCACUUCCGAGGACACGGCCGUGUAUUACUGUGCGAGGAACACCCCCUUUGCAGGCUUCCUCCAGGCUCUUCCUGACGCUGAGUGCACUGUGCCUGUGCAGUAUUCUAAUCGCACUGUCACUCAGGCACUGUUUCGUGCUCUUGGCCCCGAAACCUGA